rnacentral:rRNA from 1 species
UCCUCGCAGUAAACGAUGAAUGUUAGUCGUUGGAUAGCAAGUCUAUUCAGUGAUGCAGUUAACACAUUAAACAUUCCGCCUGGGACCCACGGUCGCAAGAUUAAAACUCAAAGGAAUAGACGGGGACCCGCACAAGAGGUGGAGCUAAUCACUUAAAGCGUCUCUCAGUUCGGAUUGAAGUCUGCAACUCGACUUCAUGAAGCUGGAAUCACUAGUAAUCGUAGAUCAGCAAUGCUACGGUGAAUACGUUCCCGGGUCUUGUACUCACCGCCCGUCACACCAUGGGAGUUGAUUUCACCCGAAAUCGGG